rnacentral:rRNA from 1 species
CAGUAGCCGCGGUAAUACGAAGGGGGCUAGCGUUGCUCGGAAUUACUGGGCGUAAAGGGAGCGUAGGCGGAUGUUUAAGUCAGAGGUGAAAGCCCAUGGCUCAACCUUGGAACUGCCUUUGAUACUGGACAUCUUGAGUAUGGGAGAGGUAAGCGGAACUCCGAGUGUAGAGGUGAAAUUCGUAGAUAUUCGGAAGAACACCAGUGGCGAAGGCGGCUUACUGGCCCAUUACUGACGCUGAGGCUCGAAAGCGUGGGGAGCAAACAGGAUUAGAUACCCGUGUAGUCCCUGUCUCUUAUAC